UACGUAGGGCGCAAGCGUUAUCCGGAAUUAUUGGGCGUAAAGAGCUCGUAGGCGGUUUGUCGCGUCUGCCGUGAAAGUCCGGGGCUCAACUCCGGAUCUGCGGUGGGUACGGGCAGACUAGAGUGAUGUAGGGGAGACUGGAAUUCCUGGUGUAGCGGUGAAAUGCGCAGAUAUCAGGAGGAACACCAGCGGCGAAGGCGGCGCUCUGGGCCGGAACUGACGCUGAGGAGCGAAAGCAUGGGGAGCGAACAGG
rnacentral:rRNA from 1 species